rnacentral:rRNA from 1 species
AACAGGAUUAGAUACCCUGGUAGUCCAUGCCGUAAACGAUGAGUGCUAGGUGUUGGAGGGUUUCCGCCCUUCAGUGCCGCAGCUAACGCAUUAAGCACUCCGCCUGGGGAGUACGACCGCAAGGUUGAAACUCAAAGGAAUUGACGGGGGCCCGCACAAGCGGUGGAGCAUGUGGUUUAUUCGAAGCUACGCGAAGAACCUUACCAGGUCUUGACAUCUUCUGACAGUCUAAGAGAUUAGAGGUUCCCUUCGGGGACAGAAUGACAGGUGGUGCAUGGUUGUCGUCAGCUCGUGUCGUGAGAUGUUGGGUUAAGUCCCGCAACGAGCGCAACCCUUAUUACUAGUUGCCAGCAUUAAGUUGGGCACUCUAGUGAGACUGCCGGUGACAAACCGGAGGAAGGUGGGGACGACGUCAAAUCAUCAUGCCCCUUAUGACCUGGGCUACACACGUGCUACAAUGGAUGGUACAACGAGUCGCGAAACCGCGAGGUUAAGCUAAUCUCUUAAAACCAUUCUCAGUUCGGACUGUAGGCUGCAACUCGCCUACACGAAGUCGGAAUCGCUAGUAAUCGCGGAUCAGCAUGCCGCGGUGAAUACGUUCCCGGGCCUUGUACACACCGCCCGUCACACCAUGAGAGUUUGUAACACCCAAAGCCGGUGGGGUAACCUUUUAGGAGCUAGCCGUCUAAGGUGGGACAGAUGAUUAGGGUGAAGUCGUAACAAGGUAACC